AUGAUAAGUCGGCUCGUCUUAAAAGUAAUAGCUGGAUCUGUCUCGCGACAUGGUUUGACUUGGCGUAAUAAGUAUUUCGCUAAGGACAUCUUCGGAUGGCCGCGUUGCAGGACUAAAGACCGCUUUCUAAUCCAUUGAUCUUACGAUUAAUAUUCUUGACAUCUGGCCUCAAAUCAGGUAGGACUACCCGCUGAACUUAA
rnacentral:misc_RNA from 1 species